UUCAGUCAUGGGGAACUUCUAACUUGGCCAUUGUCCAGGAGACACUUCAUGACACUCUCCACAAGGAGGGUAAGCCACAAAAAAUCAUAACUUGAAAAGAUUGUCAGGCAAAGUCGAUUCAUGAACUCAGGGGAGCUUAACAAGGAGUGGACUGAAGGCUGGGGUCAGUGCAUCAAGAGCCACCACACACAGAUGUGUUCAGGAUAUGAGCUACAAGUGUGGCACUCCUACACCACUAGGAAGCCACCACCACAACUCAGUGGUCCAAAGUCCUCUUUUCAGAUGAAAGUAAAUCUGCAUUUCAUUUGGAAGUCAGGGUCCCAGAGUCUGGAGGACAAGUGGAGAGGCACAGAAUCCAAGUUGCUUGGCAGUCAGUGAUGAUUUGAGGUGCCAUGUCAUCUGCUGGUGUUGGUCCACUGUGUUUUAUCAAGUCCAGAGUCAAUGCUUUGUCUACCAGGAGAUUUCAGAGCACGUCAUGCUUCCAUCUGCUGACAGGCUUUAUGGAGAUGCUGAUGUUCUUUUCCAGCAGGACUUGGCACCUGCCCACACUGUCUAGUAACUGGUUUGCUGACCAUGAUAUUACUGUGCUUGGUUGACCAGCCAACUCGCCUGACUUGAACCCCAAAGAGAAUCUGGGUUAAGUUGAGAGGAAAAUGAGAGACACCAGACCAACAAUACAGACAAGCUGAAGGCCGCUAUCAAAGAAACCUGGACUUCCAUAACACCUCAGCAGGUCCACAGGCUGAUUGCCUCCAUGCCACGCUGCAAAAUUAACCUUUUUCAGAAGUUUUUCAACUUUUCAAAAGUCUGUGGGAGCAAGGCACUUUUUGGCGAGGGAUGGAAGGAGAUGGACCAAACCCUUUUAUGUUCAUAGUUCGGCCUUCUUAUCCUUGCUGGAGUUUUCAGAUCCGCUGACGAUCCACACCUGCACCUCGUCAGCCACCUCCUCUGCCUGCCACACCUGCCAGCAAUCAGCCUCAUCUCUGCCAGUACUUCAACCCCGAAGUGAUUGAUCGUCGUUGCUCCUAACCUGGUGACACUUCAUCGCUCAAGCUCCUGAGUAAUCUGCAUCAUCUCUGUUUCCCUGUACUU